rnacentral:rRNA from 1 species
GGAUGAGCGCUAGCUACAGGCUUAACACAUGCAAGUCGAGGGGCAGCAUGGUCUUAGCUUGCUAAGGCCGAUGGCGACCGGCGCACGGGUGAGUAACACGUAUCCAACCUGCCGUCUACUCUUGGACAGCCUUCUGAAAGGAAGAUUAAUACAAGAUGGCAUCAUGAGUCCGCAUGUUCACAUGAUUAAAGGUAUUCCGGUAGACGAUGGGGAUGCGUUCCAUUAGAUAGUAGGCGGGGUAACGGCCCACCUAGUCUUCGAUGGAUAGGGGUUCUGAGAGGAAGGUCCCCCACAUUGGAACUGAGACACGGUCCAAACUCCUACGGGAGGCAGCAGUGAGGAAUAUUGGUCAAUGGGCGAGAGCCUGAACCAGCCAAGUAGCGUGAAGGAUGACUGCCCUAUGGGUUGUAAACUUCUUUUAUAAAGGAAUAAAGUCGGGUAUGGAUACCCGUUUGCAUGUACUUUAUGAAUAAGGAUCGGCUAACUCCGUGCCAGCAGCCGCGGUAAUACGGAGGAUCCGAGCGUUAUCCGGAUUUAUUGGGUUUAAAGGGAGCGUAGAUGGAUGUUUAAGUCAGUUGUGAAAGUUUGCGGCUCAACGUAAAAAUUGCAGUUGAUACUGGAUAUCUUGAGUGCAGUUGAGGCAGGCGGAACUCGUGGUGUAGCGGUGAAAUGCUUAGAUAUCACGAAGAACUCCGAUUGCGAAGGCAGCCUGCUAAGCUGCAACUGACAUUGAGGCUCGAAAGUGUGGGUAUCAAACAGGAUUAGAUACCCUGGUAGUCCACACGGUAAACGAUGAAUACUCGCUGUUUGCGAUAUACUGCAAGCGGCCAAGCGAAAGCGUUAAGUAUUCCACCUGGGGAGUACGCCGGCAACGGUGAAACUCAAAGGAAUUGACGGGGGCCCGCACAAGCGGAGGAACAUGUGGUUUAAUUCGAUGAUACGCGAGGAACCUUACCCGGGCUUAAAUUGCAGAUGAAUUACGGUGAAAGCCGUAAGCCGCAAGGCAUCUGUGAAGGUGCUGCAUGGUUGUCGUCAGCUCGUGCCGUGAGGUGUCGGCUUAAGUGCCAUAACGAGCGCAACCCUUGUUGUCAGUUACUAACAGGUUCCGCUGAGGACUCUGACAAGACUGCCAUCGUAAGAUGUGAGGAAGGUGGGGAUGACGUCAAAUCAGCACGGCCCUUACGUCCGGGGCUACACACGUGUUACAAUGGGGGGUACAGAGGGCCGCUACCACGCGAGUGGAUGCCAAUCCCCAAAACCUCCCUCAGUUCGGACUGGAGUCUGCAACCCGACUCCACGAAGCUGGAUUCGCUAGUAAUCGCGCAUCAGCCACGGCGCGGUGAAUACGUUCCCGGGCCUUGUACACACCGCCCGUCAAGCCAUGGGAGCCGGGGGUACCUGAAGUGCGUAACCGCGAGGAGCGCCCUAGGGUAAAA